rnacentral:rRNA from 1 species
UACGUAGGGUGCGAGCGUUGUCCGGAAUUAUUGGGCGUAAAGGGCUCGUAGGCGGUCUGUUGCGUCAGGAGUGAAAACUCGGGGCUUAACCCCGAGCCUGCUUCUGAUACGGGCAGACUAGAGGUAUGCAGGGGAGAACGGAAUUCCUGGUGUAGCGGUGAAAUGCGCAGAUAUCAGGAAGAACACCUAUGGCGAAAGCAGCUCUCUGGGACGGUACUGACGCUGAGACGCGAAAGCGUGGGGAGCGAACAGG